CCGCGUUCCAACCCAAGGUGCCACUGUCAUCCUCUGACUAGACCACAGCCCCUGCCUGCUCACAGAUCUCCAGGCCUUGCCGUCCUGCUGUCCUCCAUGUGGCCCCCGAGGGACUGUUAAAGACGCGCGUGUGGGGAGCAGACGGUGGCACAGCGGUACGAGAGGGUGCUCUGAGAGGCUGCCUGUCUCAGUCUGCUACCGCAUUGCUGACAGAAAUACCUGAGAUGGGACGAUUUAUACAGACAAUGGAGGUGUCGGGUUGGAGUGGUGGCCGUGUGUGUCACCUAGCACUGCUCCUGCAGCACCCUGGCAGAUGCCAUGAUACCCAAGUAUCCAGCACUGGGAAGAUCAGACAAACAUCCUAAACUUCGGCCCACCAGUUUGCACCCGAUGGGCCAGAUGAACCAUGAGGCCUCCCAGUGCGCUGGAGCCCUGGAUCUGUGGCCUGGAUAGGCUGUGGAGGUGGACUCCUGGGAGUCAACGAGUCUCAAGGACCUGGCUUCCCCUCUGGGGUUUUCCAAACAGGAAAGGAAAAGAGGAAGAGCCAGUGCAUGCGUUCAUAGUGAACAUUUAGAAUUACCGUGUACAAUUCUAAAAUGUCCUAAAAUUUUCAUGUGAAUGCACGUUAUUUAAUCUCCGCAAGAAUGAUAGACUAUAGGUGCUGCAUUUCACACCACACGGACGAACAGAGAUUCCAAGAGUUCUCAAAAAUUGCUUAGAGUCAUAGGGCAGUAACCACAAUUAAUGAAAUGAGGACUUGAACUUACUGCUAGGACCCCAGCCCCUGGCUUGUCCCCUUCAUCACCCUCCCU